rnacentral:rRNA from 1 species
GCUCAGGACGAACGCCGGCGGCGUGCCUAAUACAUGCAAGUCGAGCGAACUGAUGAAGAGCUUGCUUUUGAUCAGUUAGCGGCGGACGGGUGAGUAACACGUGGGUAACCUGCCUGUAAGACUAGGAUAACUCCGGGAAACCGGGGCUAAUACUGGAUAACUUUUCUCUCCGCAUGGAGAGAGAUUGAAAGAUGGCUUCGGCUAUCACUUACAGAUGGACCCGCGGCGCAUUAGCUAGUUGGUGAGGUAACGGCUCACCAAGGCAACGAUGCGUAGCCGACCUGAGAGGGUGAUCGGCCACAUUGGGACUGAGACACGGCCCAAACUCCUACGGGAGGCAGCAGUAGGGAAUCUUCCGCAAUGGACGAAAGUCUGACGGAGCAACGCCGCGUGAGUGAAGAAGGUCUUCGGAUCGUAAAACUCUGUUGUUAGGGAAGAACAAGUAUCGUUCGAAUAGGGCGGUACCUUGACGGUACCUAACCAGAAAGCCACGGCUAACUACGUGCCAGCAGCCGCGGUAAUACGUAGGUGGCAAGCGUUGUCCGGAAUUAUUGGGCGUAAAGCGCGCGCAGGCGGUCUUUUAAGUCUGAUGUGAAAGCCCACGGCUCAACCGUGGAGGGUCAUUGGAAACUGGAAGACUUGAGUGCAGAAGAGGAGAGUGGAAUUCCACGUGUAGCGGUGAAAUGCGUAGAGAUGUGGAGGAACACCAGUGGCGAAGGCGACUCUCUGGUCUGUAACUGACGCUGAGGCGCGAAAGCGUGGGGAGCAAACAGGAUUAGAUACCCUGGUAGUCCACGCCGUAAACGAUGAGUGCUAAGUGUUAGAGGGUUUCCGCCCUUUAGUGCUGCAGCUAACGCAUAAGCACUCCGC